AUGGCCUCGCCUUCGCCUCCCCCCACGCCGCCCACCGCCGACGAGCCUCCGCCUCCGCCUACUCCUGACGCAGACGCCCCCUCCCCGCCCACGGACGCCGAAUCCCCCCCGCCGCUCCCGGAGGCCGACGCCCCUGCCGCGCCGCCCCCGGACGCCGGCUCCCCGCCGCCGCAGCAGCAGCCGCACCUCCCGGACGGCAUCCUGGAGGACAUCUUCCUGCGCCUGACAACAGCGGGGGACGUCGCGCGGGCGUCGGCCGCGUGCGCCUCCUUCCGGGCCAUCACGUCGGCCCUCCCGUUCCGGCGCCGCUUCCGCGCGCUCCACAGGGCCCCGGUGCUCGGCUUCCUCCGGGAGGACUUCUACGCCGCCCGCCCGCCGCACCCCUCCGCCCCGGCGGCCCGGGCCCUCAAGCGGGCCGCCGACUUCGCCUUCUCCUUCCUCCCCGACGACUCCGCCUGCUGGAGCCCCCGCGACGCGCGCGACGGCCGCGUGCUCUUCUCCGCGGUCCCCAGCUCCCACGGCCGCGGCAGCUUCGCCGACGCCACCUCCACCACCUUCGUCGACCUCGUCGUCGCCGACCCGCUCUCCCGCCGCUGCGUCCGCGUGCCGCCCGUGCCCGACGACCUGGCCGCCCCCGUCCUGCGGUGGGGCAUGCUCGACUUCGAGCCCUUCCUCGCGCCGGCCAGCGCCGAGGACCUGCGCGACGAGGGCGCGCCCUUCAGGGUCAUCGGCAAGGUGCUGUGCGAGGACAGGGUCGCCGUGUUCGCCUUCUCCUCGCGCACCGGCGAGUGGCGCAGCCACGGCUCGAGCGAGCUGUCCAACGACUUUGCGCUGGACGCGCUGUAUGAGCGGCGUCACUACGUGCAGGGCUGCUUCUGCUGGCUGCUGGAGUGGAUGGAAAAGCUGCUCAUGCUCGACGCCGGCGCGAUGGAGUUCUUGAUUGUCGACCUCCCGCCCGGCAAUGACGAGAGGCGGUUCGCCAUUUUGGAGGCAGGGCAAGGCAGGAUUGGGCUGCUGAAUAUUGGGAGGAACACAUUGGACUUGUACUAUAAGGCCUGGCCUGGCAAACGCAAUGGCGAGUGGCAACACGAAACGAAAGAGCACCCACUGCCUGACUAUCACUGGCGCAUCAUAGGUUCUGAUGAGGAGUACUUGCUCCUCAGAGGGAUCUCACUUGAUUGGCCCUGGUUUGGGAGCGCUUCAUCGGAGAGUCCGGAUAUUGAGUAUUUUGCACUGGAGCUCAAGGCAUUGCAACUCGAGAGGAUGUACGUGUCCAAGCACAAAAUGUUGCAUGCUCACCUGUAUAGGGGCUACCCGCCGCAGAUCUCGGCCCCAACUCUAUGA
rnacentral:rRNA from 1 species